rnacentral:tRNA from 1 species
GGGGAUGUGGCUCAGUGGUGGAGCGCUCGCCUAGCAUGUGUGAGACCCUGGGUUCCAUCCUCAGCACCG